rnacentral:rRNA from 1 species
AUUGAACGCUGGCGGCAUGCCUAACACAUGCAAGUCGAGCGAGCGGCGGACGGGUGAGUAAUGUCUGGGAAACUGCCUGAUGGCGGGGGAUAACUACUGGAAACGGUAGCUAAUACCGCAUACCAUCAGAUGUGCCCAGAUGGGAUUGGCUGGUAGGUGGGGUAACGGCUCACCUAGGCGACGAUCCAUAGCUGGUUUGAGAGGAGGACCAGCCAGACUGGGACUGUGACACGGUCCAGACCCCUACGGGAGGCAGCAGUGGGGAAUAUUGCACAAUGGGCGCAAGCCUGAUGCAGUCAUGCCGCGUGUGUGAAGAAGGCCUUCGGGUUGUAAAGCACUUUCAGCGGGGAGGCGUUACCCGCAGAAGAAGCACCGGCUAACUCCGUGCCAGCAGCCGCGGUAAUAC